UCCACCUAAUCACACUAAAAACACGUUAAUAAAAAAAACUUGAAUUAGGAAGGGAAUUAGGGUUACAUUCAAUUUAUGAUCAUUCUGAUUGUCUCCUUCCUCUCUCUCGACUCAGACGGCGGCCAGAGACCUUCCCAAACUUCUCCGAUCAACACAACGACGACGAUUCUCCCCUCUCUUCUCCGAUUCAACACUCUCACUCUCUCGCGCUUUCGAAUUUCACUCUCGACCUCUCUGCUUCUAUUCGUUCUUGAUUUUUGUUGUGGUACAAUUGCUGUGUGAAGAAUAUUGUGACAUGACGCGUUGAAGAUGAUGAAUUAAGAGACCGUUGAUUGACGAUGUUGAAUAUUUGACGACGAUGAUUGCAGCGUGGAGUCAUUGUGCGAUGCAAUUCCGAUGCCGAUUGAAGAAGCGUAAUGAAGGUUUGAGGAAGUGGCGAAGAUUUUGGUGAAUUGAAGCGUUGAUGAUGUUGUUUGAAAAUUAUGGAGAGAAAGAUGAAGAUUGAAGAUGAUGGAGAAUGAAUCGUGAAUCAAAAGAGUUUCGUUACAAGGUUUGUUAUCUUUUUCUGUUAUGCUUUUUCUGGUUAUUCAAUUGGAGAUUAUGUGAAGAGGUGAAUUCAGAUGCGAUGGUGGAUUCAAGAAGAUGAUGAUGAAGAUGAUGCCAAAGCGUGAAUCGAAGAGAAUCGAAUUGAAGAUGAUUUUCUAGUUUUGAUUGAAUCGAUGAUGAAGAAGAUUGGAUAUUCAGAGAGAGUUUUUUGGUUGAAAGUUUGUUACAAUUUCUCAGUCUCAGUUACGUGGUGAGUUUCGAUCCCUCUGAUGCUAUUUCCCCCCCCUCGAUUUCCUUCCUUCGUUUUUUGUUAUAUUGAUUUUGCUGAGCUGUUACCGAACCGGUUCGGAUUUCCCUUUCAAACUUAUGCUAGCUCUUGUUUUUGUUGUGGUCUUUUACGGACCGGCUCCAAUUAGAAUGGAAUGCUCGAUUUUUUUGAUGGUUUUUUCUGGUUAUGCAAGUUUGGCUCUUGUGAAACAUCUUGAACCGAUUCAUGGGCCUUGAAGUGCAGGGUCGGUUUGGUUUGAGCUAAUGUAUGAAGAGGCUGCAAUUUGAUGUAUUGUGAGCUGAUGGAUUAAUCAAGUCAGAGUACCAUAUCCAUGUUAUUCUAUUGUUUUUUGUGAAUGGAAAAUUUGUAAUGAAUAUUGGUAAUUGUCACUUUGAAUUUCUCAAUGAUGUAUUUGUAAUUGAAUGAAUGUACAAAUUGAAUGA